rnacentral:rRNA from 1 species
AUGAGGAGGGAGGAGGACAAGAGGAGGAGGGAGGAGGACGCGAGGAGGAGGGAGGAGGACGAGAGGAGGAGGCAGGAGGACGAGAGGAGAGAGGAGGACGAUCGGAGGAGGAGGCAGGAGGUUGACGUACUCAACGUGGGAGGACUCAACAUUGGGAACCCACAGCCAGUCCAAGACCCGAUCUGGGUUAAGGGAAGGUCAAUUGCUGAGUUAAAGAUGAAGAUGAAUAUUAUCAAGGAAGAGGAUGCCAAAAAAGACGCUGCUAAGGCAAAAGCGGCCGGGAAGAAAGUGGAGGAGGCAGUUGCUGCAGAGGAAUUGGUUCAGCAAGCUAAUACAAGAUUCUCUUUGGAGUUCGGAGGUUUCCUCGCAACUUUCAAGAAGGAGGAUUCUGAAGAUUUCCAGUAUCCUGCUCAAAUUGAGACUAUGAAGAGACUAAACUCAUAUGUUUUGAAUGUUGAUUUUCUGAAUAUUUUGUCCGAUAAGAAGUACAAGAGCUUGGCUAUUCGACUUGGGGAGAGUACUGAAUACCUCUGGUUACAUCGGGUCAUUGCGGAAUUCUUGAUUGCAAAUGGUAUGGAUAAUGAGGAUGUCACUGUGUUGACGCAGAAAGUUCCGUUGUCUUUCACCAAUUUGCACAGUCUCAAGGCUCUAAAGGCUCACAUGCGAAGCAAGCCAUGUUGGAAAACCACAAAGAACAAUGAGAAAACGGUUACUGCACAUGGCCGCAAGUCAUUCUCGCUACUCAUAUCGGACGUGCUAAACAAGAACAAAGAAAACAUAAGUUACAACGGCAAGUUCAACGAGGAUGACAUCCUUCUUGGAGAGACUUUUUGUUGGAUAUACAGCCAGCAGUUAGAGAAUCAACCCACUCAGCUAUGUUGCAGAUCUCAGCUCCAUUUGGACUGUCAUGGAACCUUUCUAUGA